rnacentral:lncRNA from 1 species
CGUUCUUCGUGGCUGUUUUCAUCAAUGCUUCACCUAUACUGUUUUGGAUUAACUUCUGCAGGCAGCAUAAACCACUGGGCUUAAUCAUUGGACAGAGUGCAGUGAAAGGACCCCAUGAAAGCUGAUCGUUUUAGCAAAACACGAUUUUGUUAUGAUUUCACCAAGAUGGGCACACAUCAGCCUGGGAAGCUCAGUGAACCAGAGACCAGGUGUAAUGCUACCCUUCCUUCUCUCUGCCUCAGCUCUCAAGGAUUGGUCACCUACAUGUUAUUAGUAGUAUUAUUUGAUUUCUAUUCCUAUUUACUAUCAGAAGGCAUAGCCUUUAUGGGCUUCAUCACUCUGCCCUGCUACCUCACCAU